rnacentral:rRNA from 1 species
UACAGAGGUCUCAAGCGUUGUUCGGAUUCAUUGGGCGUAAAGGGUGUGUAGGUGGCGCGCUAAGUCGGGUGUGAAAUUUCGGAGCUUAACUCCGGAAACUGCAUUCGAUACUGGCGUGCUUGAGGACUGGAGAGGAGACGUGGAAUUCCGUGGUGUAGCGGUGAAAUGCGCAGAUAUCAGGAGGAACACCGGUGGCGAAGGCGGCGAUCUGGGAAGAUACUGACGCUGAGGUGCGAAAGCGUGGGGAGCAAACAGG